GCGGUGGUGGCGGAACCGGUAGACGCGCCAGGUCGAGAGCCUGGUGGCCCUCGAGGGCCAUGGGAGUUCGAGCCUCCCCCGCCGCA
rnacentral:tRNA from 1 species